UAGCGGGGGGCGUGCUAUACAUGCAAGUCGAGCGGAUGAUGAGGAGCUUGCUCCUCUGAUUCAGCGGCGGACGGGUGAGUAACACGUGGGCAACCUGCCCUUGAGACUGGGAUAACUUCGGGAAACCGGAGCUAAUACCGGAUAAUAUUUGGAACCUCCUGGUUCCUUAUUGAAAGAUGGUUUCGGCUAUCACUCAAGGAUGGGCCCGCGGCGCAUUAGCUAGUUGGUGAGGUAACGGCUCACCAAGGCGACGAUGCGUAGCCGACCUGAGAGGGUGAUCGGCCACACUGGGACUGAGACACGGCCCAGACUCCUACGGGAGGCAGCAGUAGGGAAUCUUCCACAAUGGACGAAAGUCUGAUGGAGCAACGCCGCGUGAGUGAUGAAGGCCUUCGGGUCGUAAAGCUCUGUUGUUAGGGAAGAACAAGUGCGAGAGUAACUGCUCGCACCUUGACGGUACCUAACCAGAAAGCCACGGCUAACUACGUGCCAGCAGCCGCGGUAAU
rnacentral:rRNA from 1 species